UGCAGGAUUAGUACUACCAAAGUCGCC
rnacentral:piRNA from 1 species